AUGUUUAAUACGUAUAUACACAGACAUGCACAUGUAAAGGAUGUCUAUCCCUGUGCACAUCCCCGACUCUUCCGCACACAUUACGGCAUACGUGUUCUAUCCCUGUGCACACCCCCGGCUCUUCCGCACACAUUACGGCAUACGUGUUCUAUCCCUGUGCACAUCCCCGACUCUUCCGCACACAUUACGGCAUACGUGUUCUAUCCCUGUGCACACCCCCGGCUCUUCCGCACACAUUACGGCAUACGUGUUCUAUCCUGUGCACACCCCGCUCUUCCGCACACAUUACGGCAUACGUGUUCUAUCCUGUGCACACCCCGCUCUUCCGCACACAUUACGGCAUACGUGUUCUAUCCCUGUGCACACCCCCGGCUCUUCCGCACAUUACGGCAUACGUGUUCUAUCCCUGUGCACACCCCCGGCUCUUCCGCACACAUUACGGCAUACGUGUUCUAUCCCUGUGCACACCCCCGGCUCUUCCGCACACAUUACGGCAUACGUGUUCUAUCCCUGUGCACAUCCCCGGCUCUUCCGCACAUUACGGCAUACGUGUUCUAUCCCUGCACAUCCCGACUCUUCCGCACACAUUACGGCAUACGUGUUCUAUCCCUGUGCACAUCCCGACUCUUCCGCACACAUUACGGCAUACGUGUUCUAUCCCUGUGCACACCCCCGGCUCUUGCGCACACAUUACGGCAUACGUGUUCUAUCCCUGUGCACACCCCCGGCUCUUGCGCACACAUUACGGCAUACGUGUUCUAUCCCUGUGCACACCCCCGGCUCUUCGCACACAUUACGGCAUACGUGUUCUAUCCCUGUGCACACCCCGCUCUUGCGCACAUUACGGCAUACGUGUUCUAUCCCUGUGCACACCCCCGGCUCUUGCGCACACAUUACGGCAUACGUGUUCUAUCCCUGUGCACACCCCCGGCUCUUCCGCACACAUUACGGCAUACGUGUUCUAUCCCUGUGCACACCCCCGGCUCUUCCGCACACAUUACGGCAUACGUGUUCUAUCCCUGUGCACACCCCCGGCUCUUCCGCACACAUUACGGCAUACGUGUUCUAUCCCUGUGCACACCCCCGGCUCUUGCGCACACAUUACGGCAUAUGUGCUGUCUGGCAGCUUCUGUCAUUUUUGUCCAACGUAACCUGAGUGUCUUUCCAUACUGGAUUACUUUUUAA
rnacentral:lncRNA from 1 species